rnacentral:lncRNA from 1 species
AAAAUGUAUAAACAUCUUUGUAAAACCACAAGCUUCUUCGCUUCAUUCAGAAUCUAAAUAAUAUAUUAAAAUAAACAUCAUUGUAUAAACAAUAAAUUCCUUGCUUCGUUCAGAAUCUUAAAAUAAUAAUAACCACGGCCAUAUAGAUAGAUCUGGCAACUCGCUAAAUUCUAUGUGCCGUUAUUGUAGACAGUUCGAGGGAUGGCUAUGUGGCGCUAUAUAUGCCACUAAUAUUGAUAUGUUCAAUAUUAGUCAUAUCAAUAUAUCAAUAUUAUGAUAGAUAUGUAUGGGAAAAAAUGCAUUAUUAAAAAUAAUUAAGUACUAACCAAAUUCUAAAAUAUUUGUAUUUAUUUUAUUAUUAUUUAGAGCAUUGAUUUUGGCUGUUUCCAAGCUAGAAACAAGUUUCAUUAGUGAAUUUAUUAGUGUGAAUAAGUGUCCUCCACUUCUGAAGUUAACAAAUUGGGUCUAAAGUAGGCUGUACGGAUCAUGAAUAUGAACUUACGAAGUACAUUAUACAAUUUUAUUUAAAUACGAGAAUGAAUUUUGCUUGUAAAAAAUAUAAUGACCAAAUGCCAGACCGGAAAAAAAAAAUAUCGACAAAAUUGACGAUUUCGGUAAAAAUUCGGUGUGUUGAAAGGUUCAUAGUUUUCGGUUUAAUCGUCAAAUACCAACGAUUAACACAAUUCUAACUGCUGUUCACGUAAACCCUGAUCUACCUAACUUUUCUCGAACAUCAUAACAUCGUCUAUUAAAAGACCUAAAUUUUGUACAUACUAAAGGAGGUAGACUAGGUGGAAUAAUCAAGAAGGACGAAAUCAUUAAUUGGAGAAACAAAUAUUUGAAGCAGUUACGAAAAUAUCGAGCAAAAGGACGGAGUCAUUUACUACCUAGAUGAUACAUAGGUAAAUACAGGUGACGUUUCAAAUAAAAUUUAGGUUGACAAGUAAAGAUUGAAAAGUCUCUCAACAGGUGCUGCCAACCCGAAGGGCAAGGUCAAACGAUUAAUUGUCCUCCACAUUGGUUCGGAGGAAGGAUUUGUCCCUGGUGGGCUAUUAUCAUUUCAAUCAAAAAAACAUAUCGGUGACUAUCACAAUGGAAUUAAUUGUGAAACCAUUUUUGAUUGGAUGAAAGAUGUCGUUUCACUACUGAAGGACAAUUGUGUUAUCAUCAUGGACAAUGCUCCAUACCAUAGCGUGAGGGCCGAUUCGUGUCCAACGGUUAGUUGGAAGAAAACAGAUAUUGAGAAGUGGUUGGAGGAAAAAAGUGACAUUUUUGAAAAGCCUAUCAUUAACGCCCGGCCGAUGGUUAAGUAAAACAUAUAAAACCGGUAUAUAACAAAUACCUAAUUGAUGAAUACGUCAAAGAACAUAAUAAAGUUAUAUUACGAUUACCAUCUUACAAUUGUGAACUAAAUCCUAUAAAGUUUGCAUGGUCAGUUGUUAAAAAACACGUCAGAAUGAACAGCACAACAUUCAAAUUAGAUGAUGUACAAAAACUUCUUCACGGUUGAAUUAACAAAUGUACUCCAGACAUGUGGAAAAACUUUAUUCAACACACAAUAAUCAAAGACAAAUUUUGGAAAAUAGAUUUUGUUGUAGAUCGGAUCAUGGACAUGGCGG